ACGAACGCUGGCGGCAGGCUUAACACAUGCAAGUCGAACGCCCCGCAAGGGGAGUGGCAGACGGGUGAGUAACGCGUGGGAAUCUACCCAAUUCUACGGAACAACUGAGGGAAACUUCAGCUAAUACCGUAUACGCCCUACGGGGGAAAGAUUUAUCGGAAUUGGAUGAGCCCGCGUUGGAUUAGCUAGUUGGUGGGGUAAUGGCCUACCAAGGCGACGAUCCAUAGCUGGUCUGAGAGGAUGAUCAGCCACACUGGGACUGAGACACGGCCCAGACUCCUACGGGAGGCAGCAGUGGGGAAUAUUGGACAAUGGGCGAAAGCCUGAUCCAGCCAUGCCGCGUGAGUGAUGAAGGCCCUAGGGUUGUAAAGCUCUUUCAGUGGGGAAGAUAAUGACGGUACCCACAGAAGAAGCCCCGGCUAACUUCGU
rnacentral:rRNA from 1 species